rnacentral:rRNA from 2 species
GAUCAAGCGCGAAAAGGGCGUUUGGUGGAUGCCUAGGCAGCAAGAGGCGAUGAAGGACGUGAUACCCUGCGUUAAGCCAUGGGGAGCCGGGAAUAGGCUUUGAUCCAUGGAUCUCCGAAUGGGGAAACCCACCUGACAUUCCGCUAUUGUUAUCCAUCGGAUAUCGAUAGUGGGGUGAAACAGGUAUCAUUACCCUGAAUACAUAGGGGUUUUGAAGCAAACCCGGGGAACUGAAACAUCUAAGUACCCGGAGGAAAGGAAAUCAACAGAGACUCCGUUAGUAGUGGCGAGCGAACGCGGACCAGCCGAUCCUCGAAGAGUGACUGGAAUGCGCUGGAAAGCGCAGCGAUACAGGGUGACAGCCCCGUACAGGAAGCUCCACAGGACAUAUCAAGUAGGGCGGGACACGUGAAAUCCUGUCUGAAGAUCGGGGGACCACCCCCGAAGGCUAAGUACUCCUUGCUGACCGAUAGCGAACCAGUACCGUGAGGGAAAGGUGAAAAGCACCCCGACGAGGGGAGUGAAACAGUACCUGAAACCGAACGCCUACAAGCAGUCGGAGGGUCCAUGAGACCUGACGGCGUACCUUUUGUAUAAUGGGUCAACGACUUGGUCUCACGAGCAAGCUUAAGCCGGUAGGUGGAGGCGCAGCGAAAGCGAGUCUUAAAAGGGCGUCGAGUUCGUGGGAUCAGACCCGAAACCAGGUGAUCUAGCCAUGAGCAGGAUGAAGUCAGGGUAACACCUGAUGGAGGUCCGAACCAACACCCGUUGAAAAGGGUCUGGAUGACUUGUGGCUAGGGGUGAAAGGCCAAUCAAACCUGGAGAUAGCUGGUUCUCCGCGAAAGCUAUUUAGGUAGCGCCUCGGACGAAUACCUCGGGGGGUAGAGCACUGCAUGGAUGAUGGGGGCCCACAGCCUUACUGAGUCUAAGCAAACUCCGAAUACCCGAGAGUACUAUCCGGGAGACACACGGCGGGUGCUAACGUCCGUCGUGAAGAGGGAAACAACCCUGACCUGCAGCUAAGGCCCCCAAUUCGUGGCUAAGUGGGAAAGCAUGUGGGACGGCCAAAACAACCAGGAGGUUGGCUUAGAAGCAGCCAUCCUUUAAAGAUAGCGUAACAGCUCACUGGUCUAGAUAAGCUGUCCUGCGGCGAAGAUGUAACGGGGCUCAAGCCACGAGCCGAAGCUCAGGAUGCACAGCAAUGUGCGUGGUAGCGGAGCGUUCCGUGAUAUAGCGCAGGCGCUUUCUGUGAAGCCGGGCCGUAAGGCAUCCGGUGGAGAGAUCGGAAGCGAGAAUGUUGACAUGAGUAGCGACAAACAGGGUGAGAGACCCUGUCGCCGAAAGUCCAAGGGUUCCUGCUUAAAGCUAAUCUGAGCAGGGUGAGCCGGCCCCUAAGGCGAGGCCGAAAGGCGUAGUCGAUGGGAACCAGGUUAAUAUUCCUGGGCCAGGAGGAUGUGACGGAUCUCAAAGGUUGUCUGCCCUUAUCGGAUUGGGCAGGCCGCUCAGAGGUCCCUGGAAAUAGCCCUCCAUCAGACCGUACCCUAAACCGACACAGGUGGACUGGUAGAGUAUACCAAGGCGCUUGAGAGAACCACAUCAAAGGAACUCGGCAAAAUGCCUCCGUAAGUUCGCGAGAAGGAGGCCCCGUCUGUAGGCAACUAUGGGCGGGGGGCACAAACCAGGGGGUGGCGACUGUUUACUUAAAACACAGGGCUCUGCGAAGCCGUAAGGCGACGUAUAGGGUCUGACGCCUGCCCGGUGCUGGAAGGUUAAAAGGAGAGGUGCAAGCCUUGAAUUGAAGCCCCAGUAAACGGCGGCCGUAACUAUAACGGUCCUAAGGUAGCGAAAUUCCUUGUCGGGUAAGUUCCGACCUGCACGAAUGGCGUAACGAUCUCCCCGCUGUCUCUGAUGUGGACUCAGCGAAAUUGAACUGUGUGUCAAGAUGCACACUUCCCGCGGUUAGACGGAAAGACCCCAUGAACCUUUACUAUAGCUUCGCACUGGCAUCAGGAUUGUGAUGUGCAGGAUAGGUGGUAGGCAUCGAAGCGGGGACGCCAGUUCCCGUGAAGCCAUCCUUGAGAUACCACCCUUCGCACUCUUGAUGUCUAACCGCGGCCCGUUAUCCGGGUCCGGGACCCUGCGUGGUGGGUAGUUUGACUGGGGCGGUCGCCUCCCAAACAGUAACGGAGGCGCGCGAUGGUGGGCUCAGACCGGUCGGAAAUCGGUCGUCGAGUGCAAUGGCAGAAGCCCGCCUGACUGCAAGACUGACAAGUCGAGCAGAGACGAAAGUCGGCCAUAGUGAUCCGGUGGUCCCGAGUGGAAGGGCCAUCGCUCAACGGAUAAAAGGUACUCUGGGGAUAACAGGCUGAUGAUGCCCAAGAGUCCAUAUCGACGGCAUCGUUUGGCACCUCGAUGUCGGCUCAUCUCAUCCUGGGGCUGGAGCAGGUCCCAAGGGUAUGGCUGUUCGCCAUUUAAAGAGGUACGUGAGCUGGGUUUAGAACGUCGUGAGACAGUUCGGUCCCUAUCUGCCGUGGGUGUAGGAGACUUGAGAAGAGUUGCCCCUAGUACGAGAGGACCGGGGUGAACGAUCCACUGGUGGACCAGUUGUCGUGCCAACGGCAGUGCUGGGUAGCUAUGAUCGGACAGGAUAACCGCUGAAGGCAUCUAAGCGGGAAGCCCCCUUCAAAACAAGGUCUCCCUUGAGGGCCGUGGAAGACCACCACGUCGAUAGGCCAGAGGUGUAAGCGCAGCAAUGCGUUCAGCUGACUGGUACUAAUUGCCCGAUAGGCUUGAUCUG